rnacentral:rRNA from 1 species
UACGGAGGGGGCUAGCGUUGUUCGGAAUUACUGGGCGUAAAGCGCACGUAGGCGGCUUUGCAAGUCAGAGGUGAAAGCCCGGGGCUCAACCCCGGAAUAGCCUUUGAGACUGCAUCGCUUGAACAUCGGAGAGGUAAGUGGAAUUCCGAGUGUGGAGGUGAAAUUCGUAGAUAUUCGGAAGAACACCAGUGGCGAAGGCGACUUACUGGACGAUUGUUGACGCUGAGGUGCGAAAGCGUGGGGAGCAAACAGG